GACGAACGCUGGCGGCGUGCUUAACACAUGCAAGUCGAACGGAAAGGCCCGCUUGCGGGUACUCGAGUGGCGAACGGGUGAGUAACACGUGGGCAACCUGCCCUCAGCUCUGGGAUAACUCCGGGAAACCGGUGCUAAUACUGGAUAUCGACUUCUGCCUCGCAUGGGGUGUUGUUGAAAGUUUUUCGGCUGGGGAUGGGCCCGCGGCCUAUCAGCUUGUUGGUGGGGUAAUGGCCUACCAAGGCGUCGACGGGUAGCCGGCCUGAGAGGGUGUCCGGCCACACUGGGACUGAGAUACGGCCCAGACUCCUACGGGAGGCAGCAGUGGGGAAUAUUGCACAAUGGGCGCAAGCCUGAUGCAGCGACGCCGCGUGGGGGAUGACGGCCUUCGGGUUGUAAACCUCUUUCAGCACAGACGAAGCGCAAGUGACGGUAUGUGCAGAAGAAGCACCGGCCAACUACGUGC
rnacentral:rRNA from 1 species